rnacentral:tRNA from 1 species
GCGAAAGUGGCGGAAUUGGUAGACGCGCCAGGUUUAGGACCUGGUGGGCAUGUUUGCCCGUGGGGGUUCGAGUCCCUCCUUUCGCA